CCUACGGGAGGCAGCAGUGGGGAAUAUUGGACAAUGGGGGGAACCCUGAUCCAGCGACGCCGCGUGAGUGAAGAAGUAUCUCGGUAUGUUAAGCUCUAUCAGCAGGGAAGAAAAUGACGGUACCUGACUAAGAAGCGCAGGCUAACUACGUGCCAGCAGCCGCCGAAACACGUAGGGGGGACGCGUUAUUCGGAUUUAAUUGGUGUUAAGGGAGCGUUGACGGGGCAGCAAGUCUGAUGUGAAAGGUCGGGGCCCAAACCCGGGACUGCAGUGGAAACUGUUGAACUGGAGUGCAGGAGAGGUAAGCGGAAUGCGUGGUGUAGCGGUGAAAUGCAUAGAUAUUAGGAAGAACACCGGUGGCGAAGGCAGCUUACUGGAGUGUAACUGACGUUGAAGCUCGAAAGCGUGGGGAGCGAACAGGAUUAGAUACCCCUGUAGUC
rnacentral:rRNA from 1 species